AUUGAACGCUGGCGGCAUGCCUUACACAUGCAAGUCGAACGGCAGCACGGGAGCUUGCUCCUGGUGGCGAGUGGCGAAUGGGUGAGUAAUACAUCGGAACGUACCCUGAAGUGGGGGAUAACGUAGCGAAAGUUACGCUAAUACCGCAUAUUCUGUGAGCAGGAAAGAGGGGGAUCGCAAGACCUCUUGCUUUAGGAGCGGCCGAUGUCGGAUUAGCUAGUUGGUGAGGUAAAGGCUCACCAAGGCGACGAUCCGUAGCGGGUCUGAGAGGAUGAUCCGCCACACUGGGACUGAGACACGGCCCAGACUCCUACGGGAGGCAGCAGUGGGGAAUUUUGGACAAUGGGCGCAAGCCUGAUCCAGCCAUGCCGCGUGAGUGAAGAAGGCCU
rnacentral:rRNA from 1 species